CCAUGGCUGCACCCACGGCAGAAGCUCUCCAAAGGUUUCACGAAUUUGUCAACAGGGCAGCUGAAGCCCAGAAAGGAACCGAAUGGGAAGGCAGUGCCAGCUCAGAGGUGGGUGUUGUGCAUGGUUGUGUCACCCUGCUCACUAUACUGCUGCACUCUGAAACCUGAGCCUCUUCUGCUGGCCCCCAGCAGCACUCAGCAGCCACAACUGCUGUGGAGGGGACCUGCCCAGCUCUGAGAGACAGAUGCCUCGCUUGCCAGUGGUCUUUAGGGACAGCAUCUCCAGCUGGAUCAUGUUCUGCGCAGAGGGUCUGAUGGUAUCAGCCUCCAGAGAAUCAGUGUCUGACACUCCCAGUCUGUUGUUCAUAUUGGUUUGGUCUCAGCUGAGCUAUUUCUAACAACGAAGAACAUAUCUGAGCGAGUUACAAUUUGCUGUAAUCAUAUUUUUCCAGUUUUUCUCUGUGAUAAUUACUCCCAUAAAUAUCAUUGCUUCACCUCA